rnacentral:rRNA from 1 species
CCUACGGGUGGCAGCAGUGGGGAAUAUUGCGCAAUGGGCGAAAGCCUGACGCAGCGACGCCGCGUGAGUGAUGAAGGUCUUCGGAUCGUAAACCUCUGUCAGCAGGGAAGAACGGUCACUGUGCUAAUCAUCAGUGAAUUGACGGUACCUGCAAAGGAAGCACCGGCUAACUCCGUGCCAGCAGCCGCGGUAAUACGGAGGGUGCGAGCGUUAAGCGGAAUUACUGGGCGUAAAGCGCACGUAGGCGGUAUGUCAAGUCAGGUGUGAAAUCCCCGAGCUCAACGUGGGAACUGCCUUGGAAACUGGCAAACUGGAGUGUGUGAGAGGAUAGUGGAAUUCCAGGUGGAGGAGUGAAAUGCGUAGAGAUCUGGAGGAACAUCAGUGGCGAAGGCGACUAUCUGGCACAUAACUGACGCUGAGGAGCGAAAGCGUGGGUAGCAAACAGGAGUAGAUACCCCGGUAGUC